CGCUACACAGCUCUGUGGGACUCCUGGGCCCCUGCUGUUUGGCCUUCCUGUCCUCCCCGCUGGCCUCACAGGCCCAGAAGCUGCUCCCCACACCUUGUCUGGGUCAGAGGUCACCGUCCACCUGGAGGUAGGGUGCAGCCCUGUCCCACUCCCAAGGUCUGCAGCCAGGGCUUGGCCUUGAAGCUCUCUGCUCCUCUUUAUCCUCUGGGAGCAGGGCAGGCGGCAAAGGAGUGUGCCUGGACCCAGCCUGUCAGUCCUCAGACGCUACACACGCCUCCACACGGCUGGGUACACAAAUACACACCCCGCCUCCAGGCGAGGGGCCUCUCAGAGCCGCGCAGCCCCUUCAGCAGAGCUGCUGUCCCGUGCAGCCAUCAUGGAGUGCCUGCAGGGCUCUCCCCGGGUCCUUCUCUCCAGUCUCAGGCCCAGGCUGAACCAGGACAGCACACCUGGCAGGGAGGGCGAGGCUCCCAUCUGUGACCACCAUCUACCAGGACAGUGAGUGAGGGUCACAUGGGUUGGGGUGUGGCCCUAAGCUUUAACCCUUGCAUGGCAACACGAAGCUCAGGCUGCCUGGGCUCAGAGCUGUGCUUCCCGCCAUGCCUUGGCCCACGCCAGGUACUGGGGCAUAACCAUGGUGGUGACAGGCUUGAGGGCACUGGACAGGCUGAGCGGAUCUAACCAGCUGAUUCCUGCCUGGUCAAGGACAGCCCUAUCCAGGUCUCAGGCCCCGCCAGGACCCUCGUGUGUGGAGCCCCAGGCCGAGGUCACCCCAGAGGCCUGCCCCACCACAGGGAGGUGCAGGACAGAGGCCGCCCUGGCCGAGCUCCCGUCCACGCAGGCCCUGGCCCUUGCUCCCCUCGCUGGCUCUGCACCGCUGGGCUGCACUACAGCUCUGUUUAUUAUCAUCUUGAGAAGUUUGUCCUUCCAACAAGUGCAGCUCCUUGGAUGGAGUUGUGUCAAACUCUUGAGAUAUGUUUAAUUGGGGCCACACUUAGGUGGGUGAAGAUACCCGAAACAGAAUCAUGCGUCUGGAGACACCAGGCCUCCUAGCAGUGCUUGCUCACGUACCUCAGGGCAGCCACCUGUCUGGUUCGGCCCAACGGAGGUGGUCAGCAGGGCUGGCCAGUAGCCAGGCCCAUGGUAGAGGGCAGCGUCCAUGGUGGCAGGAUCCCAGGGAUGGGGGAGGAAGUGUUCAGGCCAAACCACCCCGGAGCUGACGCUGACAGUCCAGAACUAUGUUCUCAAAACAAGAUGCAAAGGGCUGGGUGGGGCCCAGUGGCGGGGCCCAGUGGCCGGGCACUUGCCUGGUGUUCCCAAGGCAUGGGUUCCGCACACGCUCCACAGAAACAAAACUAGGCAAACGCACAAACAACAAGACCUGGGUCCACGGGCUCCCACCUGGUGCAGCACGAAGCAGGCCAUGCCACCUGGAGUCCAGGUCAUGCCCAGGUUGCUUCUCGGGGGCCCGAUGGCUUUGGGGCCCCAGCCUUGGAAAGUCUGGCACUUGCUGCCUGGGACUCACUGGCAGCCCCUCCCUGCUCCUCCCUCUUUCUUGUAAAUAUCAUUUUUUUUAAAAAGGAACGGGGCCCUGACGCCCCAGGUCACCAGUAAGGCCUGAACUUGUUUCCCCCUCAGGACAUGUGCUGGGACCCUGCAGCCCCCACAGGGCACAGGUGUCAAAAGCUGGUGCCCUUGGCCAGGAGGGGCCGUGUGGUUCACCGAGAAGGGAGGGCCUUCCGGGACUCGCUGUAGGCAGCAGAGUCCCGGGAGGACUCACAGCUGCCCUUCCACACCCCGUGAGGCCCUCCUGCCCCCACAGUUAGACUGGCUGACACACGGCGUGCCCCCCCCGGGGAGGGCCUUUUCAGUGAGGCCCCCUGGAAGCAGCUGUGUCCUCUGCACCCCUCCCAUGUCUGUGUCCCCUCCUCCCCUGUCGGUCAUCCCUGCUGACAUCAGCUCUUCGAUGUUCCCUACCUGCUCCCUUGGGAACUGCCAACCCCAUGUGGGCCCCAGAGGACUUGCCCUGCCCUCCUCACCUCUCUGUGAUGUCCCAGCUGCCAGGGCUCCUCCCACCCCGUCACUGCCCACUGUCCAGCUCAGGUGGGAGAGGGGUUUCCUGAGGACUUCCCGCUCACCCGGUGCUCGGCCGCCCUGCCCCACUCACGUCUCCAGGGGGUGUAAGUCACCCAUUCCACAGGAGCAGACCCUGAGGUCUGUGGGCCCCGAGGCUGCAGAGGAAGGCCAGGGGCCAGGAGAGCUGACCUGUCUGGAGGACACGGGAGGCCAGAGCUUUCCCUGAGGGUGAGCAGUGAGGAGCGAGCGGCUUUGGAGGUGGCCCCGGGGCAGCUCACUGACUCGGCCUCCUGGGCCUCCACACGUAUCCAGCGGCCCCAUCGGAGCUGCUUCUAAACAGGAACAUGCCUCCUCCACAUUCCAGGCCAGGGCCUGUCUGUCCCCAAGAGAGGGGAGCCAGCUGCGUGAGUCCCACCGGAAGCCGGUCCCCGGCACUGCCCUGGGACAGUGCAUUCCUGAGGGCCCCUGGGACGCAGCCCAGACUUCCCAGGCCAGCUCCUUGGCACUCAGGCUCAGUGGCUGGCCUGUCCCACUACGUGACUGCCCGCGUGUGCGCAGGCCCUCUGAGUGCGAGUGUGCCUGGGGCCGGGCAGGCAGCGCCUGCGUGGACCUGCCAUCUGAGCGAGCUGGCAGGCAGGCUGAGGAGUGCUGCUUUUUUUAGCCCAACAGCCCUGGCGUGGCAGGCUGGGAGGGGCAAGGGGUCGGCCCUGCGACAACGCUGACGUGUGCGGCUCACACAGGGGCUCAGGGCAGGGGGGCAAGGGCAGAGGGAGCCUGCCACCUGGCCCUUCAGCCCCCUGAUUUCCAGCUGUUGGGGCUGUCCUGAGCUUGGUGUGACGGCAGGCGGUGUGUGUAAGGCUGCAGGAAGCAGCAUGCCAGGCAGUCCCAGCACCCACAGACUCGGGACGAGGGCUGGGCCUCACCACCAAGGACAUCCAAAGCAGCUAGGGCAGCCCUGGAGUGCACAGGACGUGGCCCUGGAGCGACUCUUCUUAUACUGUAGGCGUUCUCCACCUCAGACCGUGUCCGGGACAAACAGGCCUGCCGGAAACUUCCGUGCACAUGCUGGACGUGGGUCCAUGGGGGGGAGCAGUGGGGGUAGCAGGCAGCCUUGAGCCCACGGGCCGGUCAGCCAGCGCUUGUCGUGGGAUGUGGCUAGCAAGCGCCUGACCAGUGACUGCACUCCUGCUCACUUCUGGAGGCUCCGGGGACUCGGGCUCAGCUCUGGAGCAGGGGAGCUGUGGCUCGCGCCUGCCCCGGCCCAGCAAGGUGGGGUGCUUGUCAGCAGGAGCACGUGUCAAGCCCUGCGUGCACCAGGGCCACCAGGCCCCUCCACCCUGUGCUGCACAGCAGAGCCCAGAGUCAAGCUCGGGAGCAGCCCCCCCUGAGGCCACAGCAGGGUCCUGUCCCCUGUUGUCCCCAUGCUAAGGGGGCAGGAGGAAGAACCCUGAGGGAUCAGAAAGGAGCUGGCUGGGGGUUAGAGAGGCCCAGGAGAUUCAAGACCACAAUGUCCUGCAGGGCAGCUCGGGCCUGGACUGUGCUCACCACUCUGCACCUGCCUGGAGGGCCCAGCACCACCCCAGGCAGCCCAGCAGGAGGGACGCUGAGGGGGCUGCUCCAGUGGUUCAAGGCCACAGAAGCUCUUUGAUGUCAUCCUGCUCCUCUUGCAGGCCACCUGGCAGGGCCUGUCCGCCUGCAGCCAGAAGACCCGACUCCUGGGGCCUAGCAUGUGGCUGAGCCAGCACCCAGGGCCGUGUCCCCGCUCUGGUCCACCAGGCCAGGCUGCCGCCACCUCCACGGCAGUGACAGGCUGCACAGAGCCAGCCUGCGAGGGACCCUGAGGACUGGGGGUGUGGUGUGUGUGACCUGUGUACGGCGUAUGUGGACUGUGUGAGCUGUGGUGUGUGGUGUGGGGGGUGUGAGUGUGUGGCAUGUAGUGUGUGUGUAGUGUGAGUGUGUGAGUGUGGUGUAUAUGUGGAUUGUGUGUGGGUGUGUGACGUAAGUGUGGCAUGUAUGUGCAAGUGUGUAUGUGGUUUGUGUGUGAGAAUGUGUAUGGUGUGUGUAUGUGGCGUGUGUACGAUUGUGUGUGUGGCAUCUGUGUGGUGUGUGUGUGGAUGGUGUGGUGCGUGUGUGAGAACGCCUGUGGUCUGUGAUUGUGUGUCGGCUCGGCCUUUUUUGUCCAGAAUUCACACUAUUUAACCCAGUUGUGCUGGCAUCUCGCCAGGACGUCUCACAGACCCUCUUUCGUGCAUGGCCGGGUCCACCCCUGCUCAGCUGCUGUAGGGCCAGUCGGCCUAGGAGGCGCUGGCGGUGACGGAGCUGAGAGCUUCCAUCCAGAUGCUUUGCCCGCGGACUCCCCCUUGCUGACCCCCACACGCGCCCACACUCCCCAAGAAAGAGAGCCCCUCUGCGAGGACCCCAGGGUCUUCCCGAGGUUCCCCACCUGAGGACACCGAGCCCUGUGUGACCUGCUCACUGGAGUGGGUGCAGAUUUGAUGGGCGUCCUCCCUUCGCACCUGGCCGCACUGUGAAAAGUGUUGCGUGAGCAAACUGUGGCUAGGUGCAACAUGCUAGGGUUCCAGGCUCAACUGUGUCCCCCAGAGAUGAUAUAAUGAAGCCCUAAGAAUGUGACCCUAUCUUGACAUGAGUCUUUCAGGAGGUGACUAAGAUCACGUUGGAUCUUUCCACACAGGAGAAGCACGUGGCUCCUGAUCCUCAAAGAAGGGUGGCCAUACCUUUGUCGGGUGCAUAAUGGGCAGGUGCCCAGCCGGGCCCUGUGCAGUCCUAGAGACAGCUGUGCAGGGGGCCCAGGGAAACCGGAGCAUUGCAUGGAACAGGGCAUGCCACCUGGUAAAUGCUGGCUGGCUGCCAUCUGUGGAACAGGAAUAGGACUCGUUCACAAAAGAGAAGAGAAAGAGGAGACUGGAGGGGCUUUGGGGGUUAAGGGAGCCCGGCCCCAGGGCUCUACAGGUACCUUCACUCCUCUGCAGCUGACGGAUGAGGGGGGGUGUGCAUGUGGAUAGAGUUAGUGUGUCCUCCACACAGGGGCUCUGCCCAUGAGCACACGGCUGAUUCCCAAAGGUACCCCAUCCUGCCCCUAGCAGAGGAGCCAGGCCCCUAGGUGAGCUGCCACAUCUCCUGAGAGACUGCUCGUGGCCUCUGGAAGUCGGUGGCCUCACAGAUGGACGCGGGGCGGGGGUGGGAAGCAAGCUCCCUGGGUAUGCCCCAUAAUUGGGGAACGGACACCCCUCCUUCCACCAGCCCAGCUUCGAAACUCCCCAGAGCAGACUCAGGCAGUGCCCCGAGGAUGAGGUCAGCCAUGGCGUCUCCAGCAAUGGCAGUUUGGCCUUCCAGAAGGGUCUCCAUGCCCCAAGGCACCCAACAGAGUCCUGGGCCCCAAGGCCGCACGCUUGCCCUUCUCUGGUGACAGCUUACUGGCGCUCAGAGCCCCCAAGGGGAUAUCUCCAUGAGAGUACACUCCUAGGAUUAAAGCCACGCUUGAGACGCUUCCAGAUGGGCCCGGUGGGUCUUCCUUGUCUUCAAGUGGACACCAGAUGCCUGCUUCCCAGACAGCCUAGCUUGGAUAGAACCUGGCCCGAGGAGCCUAACAACCCGCAUUGGGAGUGCAGGGCUGUGCCGUGGCCAGGGUGGCCUUGAUGGUGACCUUGAAACACCUGUUUGGCGGAGGUACUCAGGUUGCCCAUCUCCCGCCUCCUCUCACGACAGGGGCCCAGGGCUGUGGGGCCCAGCACUGUCUGGUGACCAUGGCUACCUCCUCCCUGCCACUCUCUGGAGCCAGUGGCUUCCCCAGGGCUCCCUGAGACUCCUGCUCAGGCCAGAACCACACCCAUCUGGAACUGGUUCUCCCAGGUCCAGGGCAGGAGCUGGUGGAGCUGCCAGGGCCAGGCGGGGCCAGAAACUGAACAGCCUGUGCCUAGGAAUGCGAAGACCUGCCCGGUUUCCAGAAAAGGGAAGAAAAAACCACACACUGAAACUGGCAGCUGCCACUUGGCCCAGCCGGACCGGAACUCUCCCCUGCCCCAGUCAAGGCUGAGUCACUGGGGGAGGGACAGGGACAUGGGGUCAGGGACCCCAAUUAAUGGGACCUGUGGUCUUGCCUGGCUCACGGGCCAGCUGCUCUGUCCACCCCUUCCCAGUUGGCCAGAGUGCUGAGGCAGUGCCUUGUGGCCACAUCUACCAGGAGGGCUGGAAAAGUGCCACCAGAGAGUGUGAGGGAAGCCAGGCGCAGCCCAGGACAAGGCAGGGAGCAGAGGCCAGGGGCCAGUCUGGGCAGUAGCCUCCGGGAGGGAAGGGGUCCUCAAGAGGAAGCCCUGCCCUAAACACUGCUCCUCCAAGAACUAAAGGCAGGGGAGGACAGAGAAGGACGCUUUGGAGGGACCUGGUGGGCUCCCACAAGAAGCAGGUGGUCCCCUCCCAAGCCUCUGCCCAGGUGCAAGUCUCGGGCGGCUGCAGGAAGCUGUGGGUGGAAGCCCUGAAGGAGGGGAAGGAGCGCUUCUGCUGGGUGCUGAGGCCACCAGGACCCCACAUCUUACAGGGGCCCUGUCUUGGCGCAGGCUGGACCUCUGUCAAUUCUGGAACGUGGAGACACUGGCUAGUUCUAGAAGUGAUUGUCACAGGCCCCAGGGCCAAUCGGUCCCCAUCCAACAUCAUGAAUGUAUAUUGGCCCAAGGAGGACAGAGCUGGCCCAAAGCAUUUGACAACCAAUGUCAUUGAGACGCGCCCUCCUCUGCCUGACCCUAUUGUCCCUGCCCGCCCCAGAUAGUGCGAUGCAGCUGGGCAAGCCCUAGGAUCCAGUGACACGGGAAAUGCUCCAGGUUCUGAACCACUCACGUGUCCUUCCAUGUUUCCGCCCCCAGAACACUGUUGGCAAAGUUUAAAUGAGACUGUAAAGAUGUGCUUCAAAAUUAAGCCUGCUGAAAAGAAGAGGGUGACCUGGUGUGCUAGGUGCCCGUCUGCACAGCCCAAACUACCUCCCCUGAAGAUCCCUGAUGCGGGGAACACCAGCCCCAGAUGGUCAGCCCCGUGCAGGGGUUCUUCCGCAGCCAGUGGCCCUGUUGAUGGUCCUGCAGGUUCUAUCAGGGUCAGUGUCAGUGCAGGGCUGAACCGUACCUGAGGGACAGCGGCUGCCCCAGGGGCUGACAAGGUCAUGACAUGAGAAGGCACCGGGUCUGUCUGGGCUGAGGCCCUGCUGCUGUCAGGGAGCCCCCCGGGUGCAGCCUCGCCUCUCCCCAGGGCUCUGGUCUUGGAGGGGCCUGGAGGCCACAGUGGGAAGAAGAUGGUUUUCCUUGCGGCAGGAGCAGGCCCAAGCAGGCAGCCUGGUGGCUCUGGCAUGGACAGCUGGCUGUCUAGCUCCUCCGGUGUCCCCCAGGAAGAUCACACUCCUGAAGGCUUCCCACAGCAGGGGAGGGCCAGCGUCUGGGAGAUCAUGUCACCAGCUUAUGAAGACCUGGGUUAGGCUUCUGACGAGACCGUGUUGGUGGAAAAUGUCCAGAGAAGGGUCAGCUUGGUGUCGUGCUGCUGGGACAGAUGACAGGCCCCGGAGCCAGAUGGCCAAGCUGGAAGGCUCCCCAGUCUGCCUCGGCCAGCUUCUGGUGGAGGCCGCAGGGCCUGCUCCCAACACAGACAUGAGGCGCAGCAGCAGACCCAAGCAGCAGGGCUGUCAUUUUGACUAUUUCUUCUUGAAAAAAAAUCAUUUUAACAACAAAUUUUCUGUUUAUGAUUUUGUUUCAAUUACUUAUUAUAUCUGUAUUGUUCAUUUAUUAUAUUGUGGUGAAAAACAACAAAAUUGGCCAUCUUAGUCAUUUUUGAUGCCCAGCUCAGUGGCCGGGGUGCCUUCUCAGUGCUGCCCAGCCAUCUCGGCUCCGAAGCUCUGUCCCCGCUGAACGCCGACCCCCAGCCCCCCACUGCUGCCCUGGCACCCAUGCUUCACUCCCUGUCUCUGGGACACUCAUGCGCGUGUCCUUUUGGGUCCAGCUUCUUUCCCUUGGCUCAGUGUCCACAGGCGCAUCCAGGAGCUGUGGGUGUCAGGACUUCCUUCUUCCCAAGGCUGACCACACCCCACCGUACUGACCCCCAUUCGCUUCUCCACUCCUCGGUCGAUGGCACCCGUGUCACCGCCUUGUGUGCUACCUGUGGCAUGGGUGCGCCUGCAUCCCUUCAAGACCUCACUUUCGGCUCUGGGUACAGGGUGGAAGGCUGGACCAUGUGGUAGUUCUAUAUGUAAAUUUUUGAGGAACUGCCUUGCUUAAUUUUCUUAAGCCUGGGGUUUCUUUGGAAUUUUCCCUAAUAUUUUCAUAAUGCUGCAGAACUAACUUGAAGAAAGCCUCUGCUCUCCAUCUUCUCAUCUG
rnacentral:lncRNA from 1 species